ACGCGGGGUGGAGCAGCCCGGUAGCUCGUCAGGCUCAUAACCUGAAGGCCGCAGGUUCAAAUCCUGCCCCCGCAACCA
rnacentral:tRNA from 1 species